rnacentral:rRNA from 1 species
UGGGGAAUAUUGGACAAUGGAGGAAACUCUGAUCCAGCAAUUCUGUGUGUGUGAAGAAGGUCUUAGGACUGUAAAACACUUUUAGUAGGGAAGAAAGAAAUGACGGUACCUACAGAAGAAGCGACGGCUAAAUACGUGCCAGCAGCCGCGGUAAUACGUAUGUCGCGAGCGUUAUCCGGAAUUAUUGGGCUUAAUGGGCAUCUAGGCGGUUAAACAAGUUGAAGGUGAAAACCUGUGGCUCAACCAUAGGCUUGCCUACAAAACUGUAUAACUAGAGUACUGGAAAGGUGGGUGGAACUACACGAGUAGAGGUGAAAUUCGUAGAUAUGUGUAGGAAUGCCGAUGAUGAAGAUAACUCACUGGACAGCAACUGACGCUGAAGUGCGAAAGCUAGGGGAGCAAACAGG